rnacentral:rRNA from 1 species
GUGAGGAAUAUUGCGCAAUGGAGGCAACUCUGACGCAGCCAUGCCGCGUGCAGGAAGAAGGCGCUACGCGUUGUAAACUGCUUUUAACCGGGAAGAAACCCCAGGACGUGUCCUGGGUUGACGGUACCGGAGGAAUAAGCACCGACUAACUUCGUGCCAGCAGCCGCGGUAAUACGAAGGGUGCAAGCGUUAUCCGGAUUCAUUGGGUUUAAAGGGUGCGUAGGCGGAGCGUUAAGUCAGUGGUGAAAUCCUGCAGCUUAACUGUAGACUUGCCAUUGAUACUGGCGCUCUUGAGUGCGCUUGAAGUGGGCGGAAUGUGCCGUGUAGCGGUGAAAUGCUUAGAUAUGGCACAGAACACCAAUUGCGAAGGCAGCUUACUAUUUCGUAAUUGACGCUGAGGCACGAAAGCGUGGGUAGCGAACAGGAUUAGAAACCCGGGUAGUCC